rnacentral:lncRNA from 1 species
UUUGCUCACAGAGAGAAGUUCUUUGUGUGUCUCCUCUGUUCAGAACUGGAGGGAGGGAGGGUGGGGGUCCAAUCCUGACACCCAGUGAAAUGUGGGCAUGUUUAAAGGGUUUCGCUUCACGGUGAAGCUGAGUCAAUGUGAACAGGGACUGAACAGGAGGAGCAAACAGUCGCUUCUGCAAUGUCAAUUUUUAAGGGGAUAUUUACAGGGACCUUUCGUGGGUGCAAUAGGAUUUCCUGGAGAGCCCCCUGGUGCCCAUGGUUGGCGGGUUGGCAAACCCUGGCAGCUGAAAUGGAAUCGGAACGAGAACAGCAACACCGAACUGGUUAGAAAACUGCAGGAUGAUUUCCUGAUCAUAGAAGAACUGGUCUGGCCUGUAUUUCAGCACUUUGCUAAAUCCAGCGUCUGGCAGCCCCAUUCCAAUACUCCAAGCACUGAUUUAACUCCAACACUCACCAGACCCAGGAAUUCAGGAGAGUCAAAGCACCCACAAACUCUUAACAACUGCCUUCAGUGCCAAGCGCUGCAGGAAUGAGAAGCUGGGCAGAGACUACAGCUCAGUGGGAGAGCAGAAGGUUCCAGCUUCAAUCCCUGGCACCUCCAGUUAAAAGGAUCAGGAAGCAGGUUGUAUGAAAGACCCUUUUCCUGCAUGAGACCCUGGAGAGCUCAAGUCAGUCAAAAUAGAAACACCUGGCACAUUACAACUCCUGUACUCCUAGGUUAGGAACAAGGGAUGUGUGACCCUUCAGUUAUAGUUGUUGGACUACAACUCCUAUCAUCCCCACUGACCAUUUGCCAUGCUGGCUGGGGCUGAUAGGAGGCAGAAGAAAUCCAGCAACAUCUACAGCAGGGUUUCCCAAACCAGCUGUUGUUCUUUUGGACUACAAUUCCCAUCACCCCUGACCACUUGUCCUGCUAGCCAGGGAUGAUGGGAGUUGUAGUCCUAAAACAGCUGGAGACCGGAGUUUGGGAAACCGUGAUCUAGAGGCCCAGAUGUUCUCUAACCAUGAGCUAGAAGUAUCAGAUUAUGCGAAAGGUUUUUCUUCAGCUACCCAACACCUUGGGGCAGCGGAAGAGGAGUAUGGGUACAGCACUCCCCCGCCCCAGGGCAGGAAAAAUGACGUCAUGUGCCAGGGCAGCAGAAGAAAUGACAGACCUCGCCUUUGCUCCAGCAUGCGGAUGAGGCAAUAACAAGGCUUUCAAGUUUGCUUGUAAAAUUUAAUUCGUUUUCUUUUGCCCACUUUUGCCUCUGGCCCUGUCUGCCACUGGAAUGUGGCCCAGAAGGAAAUAUGGCCCUCGGUGUUAAUUUCCAGGACCCAUCCUAUUCCUGUGACUGCAACUUUAUUUUAUCUGGUUUAAAUACUUGAAUUGCUAUAACCUGCCCUGGGACCUGCUGGUGAAGAGAGGGUAAUAAACAGAAUUAUAAUAAUUUAUCCAAAUGUGCACAUACAGCAAGCCCGCAACUUACAUCUGCAUUUAACUUGUGCACAUUCAGCUUCACAUGCUUGGCAUAUAUAUAUA